CUCUUCUUUUACACCACAAGCCUCACUCAGUAAUUGAGAGGAGCCGAACAAAUCAGAUCAGGUAGAAAAAUGAAUUAAAGAAAGAGCUCCUCCGAGGGCGGCAUUUCGUGCGAUUUGUCUGUCGGGGCGAGCAGACGGUCCCCGUCUGAGCAGGCCCGCUCUGAGAAGGAGCAGCCUCCCUCCCCUCAGCUCCCGGCCAAAAUUGAUGGAUGUGAAAGAGCUACCUGAGGCGGAGAUCAAAGUCAGACAGGAUGCAAACGCCUCGCCGUUUAACUCUUUCAUGUCUCACCUUUCGCGUUGAGUCACGAGCCUUCGCCCCUCCGAAAAUAUCAACAAAACAGAGAUCCAAACUUGCUGUCCUCAAACGCUACAUCAGCAAAACAGGAGGCCGAGUGGGCGUGAUGUUUCUGCUCUCUGGUGGAUCUUGUUACUCACGUAUGACCUCAGCUUCUUAACGCGGAGCUCUCUUCGCGGCGGAGGCUAUUUGCAUUCCAGCAGCAAGAGUGCGGACAAUUAAGCCAUUUCCCCUCCAAUCUAUCUCCCUCCGACCAGCCAUGCGAGCAGAUCAAUGGGAAGUGCAGCUGCACGGUCCAUGUGUGACGAGAGAGCAGAAGAUUGGGGUUAAAGCCCUCCUGGCCUUGAGAUUGCCUCCAUACCUGAGUCAAAGCAGAGAACAGCUGCUGCCAGGCGGUGGAGGAAAAGUUCUCACCGCAUCUGUGAAAGCUCUUCUCGCUACCGCCAUUUUUUUUUGUGUUUAUUUUCUUAAUGAUUUCUGCACCUGAAAGCUGAGAACAAACGCAGCAACAGGUUAGUUUCACCACCUGCACCGCCGCCUCGUCCUGAGGUGUUCCCUUUCCCCCCCUUUGGGCAGUCCAGCCCAACCACUCCAGAAUCAAUUAGCCAAAUCACAUUUCACAAAAGUAGCUGAGUUCUGCUUUCAGCAGCCCGGGCCCCUCAGGUGUCACCGAAUCAGCUUAGGGUUGCAGGCGGUGAAUCUCGGUUUAAGAUGUGUGGGAUUAGACCAAACAAAGAGGCAUAGAUAUCAAAACGCACCUGUGCAGCCCGCUCCUCAAGGACCGUUAAUUGAGAGGGGCUUUGGUCCAAACGGCGGCGGCGGCGGCUCAGAACUUAAUCUCCAAGCUCUCGGGCCAUCGCAGGUAUCCAUUUCUACCGUUCCCAGCGCCGGCAACCGUCGGAGAUCAUCGGACGGCCGCCGCGCAACAGCGACUUCCAUCUCCGCUUCCCCCCCCGUCCCGUCCGAGCGCAGGUUGGUGGUGAACACGCUGGAACGCCCUGUCUCAACCGCAGACAUCACACGGGACUCGGACGGGCAGGGCAGGACAUGUCGGGUCACGUGA
rnacentral:lncRNA from 1 species